rnacentral:rRNA from 1 species
UGGGGAAUAUUGGACAAUGGGCGCAAGCCUGAUCCAGCCAUGCCGCGUGUGUGAAGAAGGCCUUCGGGUUGUAAAGCACUUUCAGCGAGGAGGAAGGGAUGUAUGUUAAUAGCAUGCAUUUUUGACGUUACUCGCAGAAGAAGCACCGGCUAACUCUGUGCCAG